GUAUUAUUUACGAAAUACAUAUACUAAAAUUGCAACGAUACAGAGAAGAAAUCGCAUGGCCCCUGCACAAGGAUGACACGCAAAUCCCCCCUACCUUCUCUUUUGAU
rnacentral:snRNA from 1 species